GGAAUUCGUGGUGUAGCGGUGAAAUGCUUAGAUAUCACGAAGAACUCCGAUUGCGAAGGCAGCCUGCUAAGCUGCAACUGACAUUGAGGCUCGAAAGUGUGGGUAUCAAACAGGAUUAGAUACCCUGGUAGUCCACACGGUAAACGAUGAAUACUCGCUGUUUGCGAUAUACUGCAAGCGGCCAAGCGAAAGCGUUAAGUAUUCCACCUGGGGAGUACGCCGGCAACGGUGAAACUCAAAGGAAUUGACGGGGGCCCGCACAAGCGGAGGAACAUGUGGUUUAAUUCGAUGAUACGCGAGGAACCUUACCCGGGCUUAAAUUGCAGAUGAAUUACGGUGAAAGCCGUAAGCCGCAAGGCAUCUGUGAAGGUGCUGCAUGGUUGUCGUCAGCUCGUGCCGUGAGGUGUCGGCUUAAGUGCCAUAACGAGCGCAACCCUUGUUGUCAGUUACUAACAGGUUCCGCUGAGGACUCUGACAAGACUGCCAUCGUAAGAUGUGAGGAAGGUGGGGAUGACGUCAAAUCAGCACGGCCCUUACGUCCGGGGCUACACACGUGUUACAAUGGGGGGUACAGAGGGCCGCUACCACGCGAGUGGAUGCCAAUCCCCAAAACCUCUCUCAGUUCGGACUGGAGUCUGCAACCCGACUCCACGAAGCUGGAUUCGCUAGUAAUCGCGCAUCAGCCACGGCGCGGUGAAUACGUUCCCGGGCCUUGUACACACCGCCCGUCAAGCCAUGGGAGCCGGGGGUACCUGAAGUGCGUAACCGCGAGGAGCGCCCUAGGGUAAAACUGGUGACUGGGGCUAAGUCGUAACAAGGUAGCCGUACCGGAAGGUGCGGCUG
rnacentral:rRNA from 1 species